GACGAACGCUGGCGGCGUGCUUAACACAUGCAAGUCGAACGGAAAGGCCCUGCUUUUGUGGGGUGCUCGAGUGGCGAACGGGUGAGUAACACGUGAGUAACCUGCCCUUGACUUUGGGAUAACUUCAGGAAACUGGGGCUAAUACCGGAUAGGAGCUCCUGCUGCAUGGUGGGGGUUGGAAAGUUUCGGCGGUUGGGGAUGGACUCGCGGCUUAUCAGCUUGUUGGUGGGGUAGUGGCUUACCAAGGCUUUGACGGGUAGCCGGCCUGAGAGGGUGAACGGCCACAUUGGGACUGAGAUACGGCCCAGUCUCCUACGGGAGGCAGCAGUGGGGAAUAUUGCACAGUGGGCGGAAGCCUGAUGCAGCAACGCCGCGUGCGGGAUGACGGCCUUCGAGUUGUAAACCGCUUUCGACUGUGACGAAGCGUGAGUGACGGUAAUGGGUAAAGAAGCACCGGCUAACUACGUG
rnacentral:rRNA from 1 species